UACGUAGGGAGCUAGCGUUGUUCGGAAUUACUGGGCGUAAAGCGCACGUAGGCGGCUUUGUAAGUUAGAGGUGAAAGCCCGGGGCUCAACUCCGGAACUGCCUUUAAGACUGCAUCGCUUGAAUCCAGGAGAGGUGAGUGGAAUUCCGAGUGUAGAGGUGAAAUUCGUAGAUAUUCGGAAGAACACCAGUGGCGAAGGCGGCUCACUGGACUGGUAUUGACGCUGAGGUGCGAAAGCGUGGGGAGCAAACAGG
rnacentral:rRNA from 1 species